GCCAGGCACCGUGGCGCCUGCCUGUAAUCCCAGCCGUCUGGGAGACUGAGGCAGGAGGAUCUCAAGUUCAAAGCCAGACUCAGCAAUUUUAGCGAGACUCUAAGCAACUUAGCGAGAACCUGUCUCUC
rnacentral:sRNA from 1 species